GUUAAGGCAAAACUAUUAUGAAAUGCAUUGUUACUUAGUAGAAAUGCAGAACUUCUCAGCUUAUAGUUGUAAGAAGUGAAAUAGUUAGCACCAAUAAUCAUAGGCCUCAGCAACAAGCUGCAAUGUGAAAUAUAAGAAACUAACACUACAAUAGCCACUAAAAUUCCCUCUUCCAGAUCUAUGCAUGAAGUUGAUAGUAGCAAGCAAGAUCUCUAGGCACCACAUCCAGCACCACAUGCUGCACCACAUGCAGCUCCAUAAGGCUCUUGAUCUGCUGUAGAACUUUUCUCCUUGGAUACACCAUCUGCACAAGAAAACAUGAUGGCUGGAAUAAUGCAAAAGGUAACCAAAACCACCAACAAGAUUGCAUAGACAUUACCAUAGAAACCAAUAUUUGCAUCCACAAUUUUCACCUCUCUCAAUUCUCUCACCAUUUGUCCUCUCCCACUUUGCUUAGUGUUCACCUGAGGACAGGUCUUGCUGUUUCAGAAGUGAACAUACACAGCACAUGUAUAUGCUUGUUAUAUAUAUAAGCAAUAGAAACCAAUGUGCUAAAUAAAAAAUAAAAAUACCUUUGUAUGCUGUUGAAGACCUUUUCAUUUUUUCAUUACCCUUGAAAAGUGUAAGUUAUUACUAACUUUACACUGUGGUGGACCACUCAGUUCUUGUCAUGAAAUUUAGUUGUGGUUGCUAACAUGACCUGUAGUUAUCUUUGGUUCCUUUAGACAAAUCCUACUAUUGAUUCCAGUGAUCACUUUCAAC
rnacentral:lncRNA from 1 species